UAGGUCAAUGGUGACAGCUGGUUGUGUAUGAGUCACAGCUGAUGAAUAUACAUGUCUGGAACACUGAGGUCCCA
ensembl:snoRNA